rnacentral:rRNA from 1 species
GCUUAACACAUGCAAGUCGAACGGAAAGGCCCUGCUUUUGUGGGGUGCUCGAGUGGCGAACGGGUGAGUAACACGUGAGUAACCUGCCCUUGACUUUGGGAUAACUUCAGGAAACUGGGGCUAAUACCGGAUAGGAGCUCCUGCUGCAUGGUGGGGGUUGGAAAGUUUCGGCGGUUGGGGAUGGACUCGCGGCUUAUCAGCUUGUUGGUGGGGUAGUGGCUUACCAAGGCUUUGACGGGUAGCCGGCCUGAGAGGGUGACCGGCCACAUUGGGACUGAGAUACGGCCCAGACUCCUACGGGAGGCAGCAGUGGGGAAUAUUGCACAAUGGGCGGAAGCCUGAUGCAGCAACGCCGCGUGCGGGAUGACGGCCUUCGGGUUGUAAACCGCUUUCGCCUGUGACGAAGCGUGAGUGACGGUAAUGGGUAAAGAAGCACCGGCUAACUACGUGCCAGCAGCCGCGGUGAUACGUAGGGUGCGAGCGUUGUCCGGAUUUAUUGGGCGUAAAGGGCUCGUAGGUGGUUGAUCGCGUCGGAAGUGUAAUCUUGGGGCUUAACCCUGAGCGUGCUUUCGAUACGGGUUGACUUGAGGAAGGUAGGGGAGAAUGGAAUUCCUGGUGGAGCGGUGGAAUGCGCAGAUAUCAGGAGGAACACCAGUGGCGAAGGCGGUUCUCUGGGCCUUUCCUGACGCUGAGGAGCGAAAGCGUGGGGAGCGAACAGGCUUAGAUACCCUGGUAGUCCACGCUGUAAACGGUGGGUACUAGGUGUGGGGUCCAUUCCACGGGUUCCGUGCCGUAGCUAACGCUUUAAGUACCCCGCCUGGGGAGUACGGCCGCAAGGCUAAAACUCAAAGGAAUUGACGGGGCCCCGCACAAGCGGCGGAGCAUGCGGAUUAAUUCGAUGCAACGCGUAGAACCUUACCUGGGUUUGACAUGGAUCGGGAGUGCUCAGAGAUGGGCGUGCCUCUUUUGGGGUCGGUUCACAGGUGGUGCAUGGCUGUCGUCAGCUCGUGUCGUGAGAUGUUGGGUUAAGUCCCGCAACGAGCGCAACCCUUGUUCACUGUUGCCAGCACGUUAUGGUGGGGACUCAGUGGAGACCGCCGGGGUCAACUCGGAGGAAGGUGGGGAUGACGUCAAGUCAUCAUGCCCCUUAUGUCCAGGGCUUCACGCAUGCUACAAUGGCUGGUACAGAGAGUGGCGAGCCUGUGAGGGUGAGCGAAUCUCGGAAAGCCGGUCUCAGUUCGGAUUGGGGUCUGCAACUCGACCUCAUGAAGUCGGAGUCGCUAGUAAUCGCAGAUCAGCAACGCUGCGGUGAAUACGUUCCCGGGGCUUGUACACACCGCCCGUCAAGUCAUGAAAGUUGGUAACACCCGAAGCCGGUGGCCUAACCGUUGUGGGGGAGCCGUCGAAGGUGGGACUGGUGAUUAGGACUAAGUC